AUCAUAUCUAACUACCCUAAAUCAUAUCUUCAUUUUGAAUACUUUGAAUCAUAUCUCAACACUCCCCCAUGAUUCAAAGUUGCAGAUGUAAGUACAGAGCUUUUCUUCUGACAAGACCUUUGUAAAUUUUUCAUCAAGCUUUUGACGAGUUUGAGGAUGUUUCAAAGCAUAAGCAACACAACCAAAGAUUCGUAAAUGACUUACAGAUGGUUUCCUUCCAUGCCAUGCUUCAUAAGGAGUUUGAUUCAUAACCGCCUUUGUUGGUGAGAUGUUUAAUAGAUAAACAGAUGUUGCUACGGCUUCGGCCCAAAAUUGGUUUGGAAGUCUCCUUGCUUGUAACAUA